rnacentral:lncRNA from 1 species
AGGAAAUUGCUGGAGCCUCAGCCACAGUGGGGGAGGGGCCCCAGGAGAUGUUCUGGAAUCUUGGGAGAGGAAGAGUUUCUGUCAGAGAGAGGCAGUUAGCUCUCUCAAUCCUGAGACAGCCUAAGGAAAAGUCUGGACAAGACUGCUCCUGAGGAAAGACUUGUAUCUUUCCCCUGAUGAUUGGACACCCUUCCCCCCACCCAUUCCCAACUGAAGUGGCCAUUUGAGAAGACACCAAGCAGCUGACAAGAUCACCUGACAGCUCUUGGUGCCCUGGGUCUGAAUCGGUGUCCAGCUGGGCCAAGACCAGGACCAUCCAUGCCUGAAUCUCCCAGGGUCCAAGGCUGCCAAGGCCUGGGUUCCCCAACUUCAGGAGGGAGGUUUAACACUGUACAUUGCGAAUGGGCAAAAAUGGAUGUAGAAAAUGGAGAGAUAACAUCAUAACACAACAUAAAAGAAUAACUGGAGUGGAUCUAAUUACUAGUAGAUGAAUAUCACAUUGACAAUUUAAUUUUAUCUUGUAUCCUAUCAAAAAAACAGGGGUCCUUUACUAUUCAUUAUAUUUGAGAUGUAUCGCUACCAAUAGUGGCUUAACAGAGUCCACAAGUAUGUGCACUUUAGAGUCCAUUUUUCCAUAGAGUUCCACUUUCCGAUCAAGGAAGAUCGACAUCAGAAGGUGAUUUAACCCAUUUAUCUUAAAGAAUGAUUCUAGAAUGAUUAAAUGUUAUAACUUCAUUCCUAAAAGUAUUUUUUAAAUUCAAAGACAUUUAAAAAUAUUUAUGGAUUUUCAAUGUCUCAAGAAUACUUUUUGCUGAGGUAGGAAGUUCCCUAAAACAGAAGCUAAAAAGGUUAAUUUAUUCUGAUAGAAAAAUGAUUAACAUGGUCUAAGAUUACCUUCCUCUAAUUAACCUUGCACAUUAUUGAGAACUUAAAAAGAAGAAUGUAGAUGGCAAAAAUACCACUUAGAAAAAAUCUAGCUGAGCAGGUUUUAAGACAGUACCCCUUUGGGAAUGAUAAUCAUUAUAUUUGGUAGCCAUUGGGGACACUU